AGCAUCUGUAAAAAAAAAAUAUUAUUUUAGUUACACAGAAAAAAAUACUAUUUUGAAAUUCGAUAUAUGACGUCAGCAGUUGGGUAUAUUUUGUAGUAGGUUUCAUAUUUUUUGAAUGUGCUGACAUUUAUUCAAAUAUUUGUGCAUAUUUCCAUUCAAAAAUAUGACAACAAUGUCUUUGUCCUUAUUGGAAUUCAUAGUAAAUGACAAACGAAGAAUAGACUUCAAAAAAGAAGAAUACACUUAUUAGAAUGAUUGUCAACGAUGUCAAAUAAAAAGAAAAAAAAGCAAGUGUCAUACCAAGAGCUGAAAAUUGAUCAUUAUCUUCACAUUUAAUUUUUUCUACAUUUUUUUCAAUCAAUUUUACAUCAACACUUUUGCUAUUCAUACUUUCAAACACUUCAAAUCUUAAAAAAAUAUUCAAAAGGAAUGUCAGAUCUUUGGAAUGACCAAAAAAAAGGAUUAAAUUAACACUAUAAAAUAAUGACAAAUAAUAAUAUACUUAAAAAUCAUAAAAUUAGUAAAAAAAAAUAUUGUGGGAGUUAAGUUAGCGAUACACCGGAGAAUUCCAGACUAAAGAAGUCGCCUGAUGUGCAAUGAAAAGGAGUAGGAGAAGUGGUUCAUGCGUCUGCAAAAUGUGGAGGGAGAAUUCCAGGCAGUAAAACCAAAGAAAAACAAGAAUUCUUCGUCGACCUCGAGGUCGUCUUAUCGGUUCUUCCGGAAUUGGAUUGGAUAAUAAAAACUUCUGAAGCACGAUUCUAUUGACGAUUCGCAUUAUGAUGUAACACUAAGUUGUCCAGUCUCUAUUUAAAGAUGAUUCAAUAAGCUAAUUUUCCAAUCAAUCAAGAGUUACAGUAGUCAAUGAAUGAUCUACAGUUUUUAAUGAGUAAGUAUUUCACUCACUUAUGUGCUGUUCCCAUGGCUCGUGUCUUUGAAUCGUUGCCAAAUGAUUGGGGCUGAUAGAAACAACUGGUGACAUUGGUCUUGAAGUAUUCAUUGUGUUUAUAAAUACUUGAAAUUUUUUUGAUUUCUAAUCAAUAUUACAAAUAAACAAUUUAUAAUGAUGACCUUAUGAAAUUCACAAAAUUAUUUACGUUAAUGUAAGGAAUAAUCAAUGGCUAUAUUAAAUGUCACUAAACCAAAUUGGAGAUUUUGAAAAAGAGAUAACUUAAUAAUCAGUAAAACAUUUGCAGUUUGAUGCCAUGUGUUUAAGGAAUUGGAUUCAAACCAAAAAUAAAUCACAAAUUAGAACAAGAUUUUAAGAGAAUUCUAAAUUUUCUAUCUACAACUUGGAUUUAAUAAUUCUAUUCAAAAAGUAUAAUUGAAUAUCAAAAAUAAAAGCAUAGAAUAUUCAUGAGAAUUUACAGAAAAAAAGAAACAAUUUUUUUAAGAGGAAACUUUUUUUGGAAUUUGAUAGAAAAAUUCAAUGAUUAUUUAAUGUUGACAUAUAUUUUAUCAACAAUUGAUAUGAAAUAUAAUUGAUGAAAAGAAUCACUGAAUCUUGACAACUUGCAAUAAUAAGUCAACACGUGCUUCAAUUAAUAAUGUCUAAUGUUCACACGUGAAAAUCAAAAACAAAAAACCCGAAAUGUCUGGCAAGACUCAGCGAGACAAACUGAAGCCACGGUGAGCUUAGAUCAAAACGCGUUCUUAUUUAUGCUCAUCUGUUAUCUCUCUUGCUAACUCUUAGCAUGAGUAAUGUAGCUAAACGAAUAUAUUCUGUGGCCAGGGUGCGCCUUACUGUUCUAUCUCACUUCUUCCUAUGAGCAAAUGCAAAGACUUUUCACCUAGUUUCAACAGAACCAGACCAAAAAUAAAUCUACGACCACCGAAUGAAAUCUCUUAUAUCUUAAAUUUUUUCUAAAAAAAACAAAUGUUUUAAUAUAACAUAUUCAUCUA